AACGAACGCUGGCGGCGUGCCUAACACAUGCAAGUCGUGCGAGAAAGUUCCUUCGGGAGCGAGUAAAGCGGCGCACGGGUGAGUAACACGUAGGUAACCUGCCCCCCAGUCUGGAACAACUAGAGGAAACUCUAGCUAAUGCCGGAUGAGACCACGAUCCCUUCGGGGGUUGCGGCCAAAGAUGGCCUCUACUUGUAAGCUAUCGCUGAGGGAUGGGCCUGCGGGCCAUUAGCUUGUUGGUGAGGUAACGGCUCACCAAGGCUGUGAUGGCUAGCUGGUCUGAGAGGAUGACCAGCCACACUGGGACUGAGACACGGCCCAGACUCCUACGGAGGCAGCAGUGGGAAUAUUGCGCAAUGGGCGAAAGCCUGACGCA
rnacentral:rRNA from 1 species